GACGAACGCUGGCGGCGUGCCUAAUACAUGCAAGUAGAACGCUGAAGGAGGAGCUUGCUUCUCUGGAUGAGUUGCGAACGGGUGAGUAACGCGUAGGUAACCUGCCUGGUAGCGGGGGAUAACUAGUGGAAACGAUAGCUAAUACCGCAUAAUAGUAGAUGUUGCAUGACAUUGGCUAAAAAGGUGCAAUUGCGUCACUACCAGAUGGACCUGCGUUGUAUUAGCUAGUAGGUGGGGUAACGGCUCACCAAGGCGACGAUACAUAGCCGACCUGAGAGGGUGGUCGGCCGCACUGGGGCUGGGACACGGCCCAUACUCCUGCGGGAGGCAGCAGUAGGGAAUCUUCGGCAAUGGACGGAAGUCUGACCGAGCAACGCCGAGUGAGUGGAGAAGGUUUUCGGAUCGUAAAGCUCUGUUGUAAGAGAAGAACGAGUGUGGGAGUGGAAAGUGCACACUGUGACGGUAUCUUAACAGAAAGGGACGGCUAACUACGUG
rnacentral:rRNA from 1 species